CUGGAUGGUUUUGCAAGGAAGAAGGGGCAUCGUGCUGGUCUUGAAGAACAGGGACAGAGGGACCACUACCUUCCAGGGCAGUCAAACCCUUCUUCAGCUUUUCCAGGAGCUCUAAGUUUCCCAGAGACUGCUCAGAAAGGAACGGCCCAUUCUUCUACUACAGGCUCCGGGGAGGAAGAGACAGAAGAAUAUCCGGCUGGAUAGAGGAGGAUGAGAGAAUAACACAGAAAUAAACAAGCUAGCAUGAGGAUGCCACCAUCAGACAUCUUGUUGACAACAACCAUAUCCAUAAGGUCUGGUUCAGUGUCCAACACACUAUGGAUGCUCCGUACAUGUUGGUUGAAUGAAUAAACAGCUUCACUUUGAACA
ensembl:lncRNA